rnacentral:rRNA from 1 species
GAGGAAGGUGGAUUAUGUUAAUAGCAUAUUCAUUUGACGUUAGCUGCAGAAGAAGCACCGGCUAACUCCGUGCCAGCAGCCGCGGUAAUACGGAGGGUGCGAGCGUUAAUCGGAAUUACUGGGCGUAAAGCGCAUGCAGGUGGUUUGUUAAGUCAGAUGUGAAAGCCCGGGGCUCAACCUCGGAAUUGCAUUGAAACUGGCAAACUAGAGUACUGUAGAGGGGGUAGAAUUUCAGGUGUAGCGGUGAAAUGCGUAGAGAUCUGAAGGAAUACCGGUGGCGAAGGCGGCCCCCUGGACAGAUACUGACACUCAGAUGCGAAAGCGUGGGGAGCAAACAGGAUUAGAUACCCCUGGUAG